AUCAUGGCUCAGGAUGAACGCUAGCUACAGGCUUAACACAUGCAAGUCGAGGGGCAGCAUUGGAGUAGCAAUACUCAGAUGGCGACCGGCGCACGGGUGAGUAACACGUAUCCAACCUGCCGCUUACUCGGGGAUAGCCUUUCGAAAGAAAGAUUAAUACCCGAUGGUAUAAAGAGUUCGCAUGUUCUCUUUAUUAAAGAAUUUCGGCAAGCGAUGGGGAUGCGUUCCAUUAGAUAGUUGGCGGGGUAACGGCCCACCAAGUCUACGAUGGAUAGGGGUUCUGAGAGGAAGGUCCCCCCACAUUGGUACUGAGACACGGACCAGACUCCUACGGGAGGCAGCAGUGAGGAAUAUUGGUCAAUGGACGAGAGUCUGAACCAGCCAAGUCGCGUGCAGGAAGAAUUGUCCUAUGGAUUGUAAACUGCUUUUGCAGGGGAAUAAAGUGCAUCACGUGUGAUGUUUUGUAUGUACUCUGCGAAUAAGGAUCGGCUAACUCCGUGCCAGCCGCCGC
rnacentral:rRNA from 1 species